rnacentral:rRNA from 1 species
UACGAAGGGUGCAAGCGUUACUCGGAAUUACUGGGCGUAAAGCGUGCGUAGGUGGUUCGUUAAGUCUGAUGUGAAAGCCCUGGGCUCAACCUGGGGAUGGCAUUGGAUACUGGCGAUCUAGAGUGCGGUAGAGGGCAGUGGAAUUCCCGGUGUAGCAGUGAAAUGCGUAGAGAUCGGGAGGAACAUCUGUGGCGAAGGCGACUGCCUGGACCAGCACUGACACUGAGGCACGAAAGCGUGGGGAGCAAACAGG